rnacentral:rRNA from 1 species
UAAGGAAUAUUGGUCAAUGGAGGCAACUCUGAACCAGCCAUGCCGCGUGAAGGAUUAAGGCCCUCUGGGUUGUAAACUUCUUUUAUAUGGGAAGAAAUGUACUUUUUCUAAAGUGCUUGACGGUACCAUAGGAAUAAGCACCGGCUAACUCCGUGCCAGCAGCCGCGGUAAUACGGAGGGUGCAAGCGUUAUCCGGAUUUGCUGGGUUUAAAGGGUGCGUAGGCGGAUGAAUAAGUCAGUGGUGAAAUCUCCGAGCUUAACUCGGAAACUGCCGUUGAUACUAUUUGUCUUGAAUAUUGUGGAGGUAAGCGGAAUAUGUCAUGUAGCGGUGAAAUGCUUAGAUAUGACAUAGAACACCAAUUGCGAAGGCAGCUUGCUACACAAUCAUUGACGCUGAGGCACGAAAGCGUGGGGAUCAAACA